rnacentral:tRNA from 1 species
GGGGAGAUAGCAUAAUGGUUAUGCCAUGAGAUUCUCAUGCUUGAGGCUUCAAAGUCUCAGGUUCAAUCCCUGUCUCACCA